GUAGGUGGCAAGCGUUGUCCGGAAUUAUUGGGCGUAAAGCGCGCGCAGGCGGUUCUUUAAGUCUGAUGUGAAAGCCCACGGGCUCAACCGUGGAGGGUCAUUGGAAACUGGAGAACUUGAGUACAGAAGAGGAAAGCGGAAUUCCACGUGUAGCGGUGAAAUGCGUAGAGAUGUGGAGGAACACCAGUGGCGAAGGCGGCUUUCUGGUCUGUAACUGACGCUGAGGCGCGAAAGCGUGGGGAGCAAACAGGAUUAGAUACCCUGGUAGUCCACGCCGUAACGAUGAGUGCUAAGUGUUAGGGGGUUUCCGCCCCUUAGUGCUGCAGCUAACGCAUUAAGCGCUCCGCCUGGGGAGUACGGCCGCAAAGGCUG
rnacentral:rRNA from 1 species